rnacentral:misc_RNA from 1 species
GGACGGGGUGAAUUGUU